CCUACGGGUGACUGCAGUGAGGAAUAUUGGUCAAUGGACGGAAGUCUGAACCAGCCAUGCCGCGUGCAGGAAGACGGCUCUAUGAGUUGUACGCUGCUUUUGUACAAGGGUAAACCUGAAUACGUGUAUUCAGCUGAAAGUACUGUACGAAUAAGGAUCGGCAAACUCCGUGUCAGCAGCAGCGGUAAUACGGAGGAUCCAAGCGUUAUUCGGAUUUAUUGGGUUAAAUGGGUGCGUAGGAGGGCUGUUAAGCCAGCGGUCAAAUGUCGGGGCUCAAACCCGGCCUGCCGUGGAAACUGGCGGCCUCGAGUGCACGAGAGGUAUGCGGAAUGCGUGGUGUAGCGGUGAAAUGCAUAGAUAUCA
rnacentral:rRNA from 1 species